UCAUAAACCCGACAGCAGCGUCGGCUCCCGAUCCUUCUAUCGGAACCACAGCGAAUGGCGGGGCUACAG
rnacentral:sRNA from 1 species